rnacentral:misc_RNA from 1 species
GAUGAAGAACGUAGAGAAAUGCGAUAAGUAGUGUGAAUUGCAGAAUUCCGUGAAUCAUCGAAUCUUUGAACGCACAUUGCGCCUUCUGGUAUUCCGGAAGGCAUGCCUGUUCGAGAGUCAUUAACAACCGUUUCGAUCCCUUUCUUUCAGAAAUUACAAAGAGGAAAAGGGUUUGGUUAUGGUGGAGGAGGGAAAGGGAGCGUUUAGCCUGUAAAAAAAGAGGCUGUGUUCCGCCUCCCCCCCAAAAUUGUACAGGCGGUCGUGUGCGCCCACGCAUCGAGGUGUUGUAAAAGCUGCCACGGCACUUUUCACCUGUGCAGUGCGAGAUUGGCCAGCCGGUUUAAAAACCCCUCCAAACAAUCAAAGGUUGACCUCGGAUCAGGUAGGGAUACCCGCUGAACUUAAGCAUAUCAAUAAGCGGAGGA